ensembl:miRNA
CUUCUCUUUCCAGUUCUUCCCAGAAUUGGGAAAAGUUGGGUUGAGAGGGU